rnacentral:rRNA from 1 species
UCGCGCUAUCAGAUGAGCCUGCGUUGGAUUAGCUAGUUGGUAGGGUAAAGGCCUACCAAGGCGACGAUCCAUAGCUGGUCUGAGAGGACGAUCAGCCACACUGGGACUGAGACACGGCCCAGACUCCUACGGGAGGCAGCAGUGGGGAAUAUUGGACAAUGGGCGCAAGCCUGAUCCAGCAAUACCGCGUGUGUGAAGAAGGCCUGAGGGUUGUAAAGCACUUUUAAUCGGGAGGAAAACCUAUCGGCUAAUACCCGGUAGYUUGACAUUACCGAUAGAAAAAGCACCGGCUAACUCC